rnacentral:rRNA from 1 species
GAUCCUGGCUCAGGAUGAACGCUAGCUACAGGCUUAACACAUGCAAGUCGAGGGGCAGCAUGUUGGUUGCCUGCAACCAAUGAUGGCGACCGGCGCACGGGUGAGUAACGCGUAUCCAACCUACCCUUGUCCAUCGGAUAACCCGUCGAAAGGCGGCCUAACACGAUAUGCGGUUCACAGCAGGCAUCUAACGUGAACGAAAUGUAAGGAGAAGGAUGGGGAGUGCGU